CUGCAUAGAACCUGCCUCCCAAUGGAGAUGCAGAGAAAGAAGGAACAUUCGCUGGGUGGAGGCACCUUAAGAGAGGUUUCGUGAAUUCUUUCUUGAGGUAGAGAAGCGCUGUGGGGAGAAAGCAUGCACUCACCAGUGCGCCGAGCAGAACCUCACCUGAAUAUGUAAAACAGUGAAGAAGGAGAGUUUUGAACAGGGCUAUUGAAGCGUGAGUUAGGUGGAUCUGAGAGACUGAUGACUGGACCUUACUGGAAAUGCCGCUGGAAGCAGGGUCAGGACGGAGCCCGCAGGAAACGCGCCUGUGUGGAUGGGCUGAGUCACGAUUUUCCCGCCUGGCAUAUAUGCUCUUAUAUUUGCUCACUGGUUUAGAGUGAGUCUAUUUGUAACAACAACAACAACAAAAAUAAAACACUUCAAAUAAACAGGACUCCUUUAUUUAUGAAGGACAGCUCUUUAUUUACGAAGGACAGCUUUACUCAGAACAUCUUGAAUGAUAAAAUCCACAGGCAGUAUGAUUUCGUUUGGUAGUUAAUGCUAUUUUCUUUUACAACAAAAUAGCUUGCCGGACUUUCUGAACAGCAUGGUGUAAGAGGUAAGAGGCAUUUUGUCUCUGCCUCUCGUCAUAAUGAUCACGGGGCACAUGGCUGUAGGAAGGGCCAUGCCCUGAAGACACAGGCAAAGUGCCUGUAAAUAAACCCUGAGUGGGCAACAUGAAUGGCCGCAGACCAGACAAAAUGAGAAUCCAGUUAAACAAGUGCAUGAAAUAUGCCCCUUAGUCCACUCAGCCUGCAACACAAAAGCACAGAACAGGCAGCUUCUAAACCACAGACAUUGACUUCCGUUCUGGAGGCCGGAAGUCCAAGAUGGAGGGUCCCGCAGAUUCCGUGUCUGAAACAUUGGCAAAAUCAUCUUCAUUGUUCAUAGAUUGUUGCAGCAGAUCCAACUGAAGGAUACACCAACCAUUUUAAUCGGACACAAAAGAACAGGCUGUCCUCACCUGACCACCACCCACAACAACCGAACUUUAAUCAGACACAAAAGAACAGGCUGUCACCUGACCACCACCCACAACAACCGAAGGGCAGGAGUCUUGCUGUGUCACCAGGCUGAUCUCGGCUCACCACAACCUCCGCCGCCCAAGUUCAAGUAAUUCUCCAGCCUCAGCCUCCCCAGUAGCUGGGACUACAGGCAUGUGCCACCAUGUCCAGCUAAUUUUUGUAUUUUUAGUAGAGACAGGGUUUCACCACGUUGGCCAGGAUGGUCUCGAUCUCUUGACCUUGUGAUCCACCUACCCCAGCCUCCCAAAGUGCUGGGAUUACAGGCGUGAGCCACCGUGCCUGGCCCUGGUUUCCUUUUUCUUAGCAAUCUUUUCUUCAAUAUACUUUUUCCAACUCUCACAUUUUACUAUGAGCAGCAAGAAGAAACCAGGCUCUUCCUUCAACAUUUUCCUUAGAGAUCUCCUCAGCUAAAUAUCCAAGUUUGUCCCCUACAGGUUAUACUUUCGACACAACAAGACACAAUUGCACCAACUUCUCUACCAUGUUGUGGCAAAGAUCAUCUCCUGCGUUUUCCAAUAGCAUGUUCCUAUUUCCGUCUGAGCCCUCCCCAGAAUCACCUUUAACAUCCAUAUGUCUACCAACUGUAUCUUCAGAACAAUUGAGUCUUCUUCUGACAUAAAUGUUAAAACUCUCUCUGCCUCUAACCGUUACCCAGUUCCAAAGCCACCCCGGCAUUGUCAGGUAUUGGUCACAGCACUUCCUUUCUCAGAACCAAAAUCUCUCUUAGCCUGCUCAGGCUUCCAGAGCACAGGAACACACACCAGGGGACUUAAAGCCAAAGAAACCCACUGUCGUAGAGUUGUGAGGUCUAGAAGUCCAAAAUCAGAGUGUUGUCAGGGCCAACCUACACCUCGUGCUGUAAAGGGGGCCCUCCCUUGCCUCUUCCUCCUCCUGGUCACCCCAGGCAUUACUCACCCUGUUGACGGGUCCUAAUCUCUGCCUCUGACUUCACGUGGAUUCUUCCUGUGUGUGCAUCUGUCUCCAAAUGUCCCCAUUUCAUAAGGGCACUUCUUUAGG
rnacentral:lncRNA from 10 species